rnacentral:rRNA from 1 species
AAUCGACCCAUUCAGUUCGGCUGGACCAGUGACAGGUGCUGCAUGGCUGUCGUCAGCUCGUGUCGUGAGAUGUUGGGUUAAGUCCCGCAACGAGCGCAACCCUCAUCCUUAGUUGCCAUCGGUUCGGCCGGGCACUCUAAGGAAACUGCCGGUGACAAGCCGGAGGAAGGUGGGGAUGACGUCAAGUCCUCAUGGCCCUUACGGGCUGGGCUACACACGUGCUACAAUGGUCGGUACAAUGGGCUGCCACCUCGUGAGAGGGAGCUAAUCCUAAAAGCCGAUCUCAGUUCGGAUUGUAGUCUGCAACUCGACUACAUGAAGCCGGAAUCGCUAGUAAUCGCGUAUCAGCAACGACGCGGUGAAUACGUUCCCGGGCCUUGUACACACCGCCCGUCAAGCCAUGGAAGCUGGGGGUACCCAAUGUCCGUGACCCAACUUCGGAGGGAGCGGCCUAAGGUAAAACCAGUGACUGGGGCUAAGUCGUAACAAGGUAGCCGUA